rnacentral:rRNA from 1 species
CCUACGGGAGGCAGCAGUGGGGAAUAUUGGUCAAUGGGGGGAACCCUGAUCCAGCGACGCCGCGUGAGUGAAGAAGUCUUUCGGUAUGUAAAGCUCUAUCAGCAGGAAAGAAAAUGACGGUACCUGUCGAAGAAUCCACGGCUGAAUAGGGGCCAGCAGCCGCGGUACUACGUAGGGGGCAAGCGUUAUCCGGAUUUACUGGGGGUAAAGGGGGCGUAGGCGGCAGCGCAAGUCUGGAGUGAAAUGCCGGGGCCCAACCCCGGAACUGCUGUGGAAACUGGGCAGCUGGAGUGCAGGAGAGGUAGGCGGAAUUCGUGGUGUAGCGGUGAAAUGCGUAGAUAUCAGGAGGAACCCCGGCGGCGAAGGCAGCCUACUGGAGUGUAACUGACGUUGAGGCUCGAAGGCGUGGGUAGCAAACAGGAUUAGAUACCCCGGUAGUC